CUUGGCACCUCGUAAGCACUCA
rnacentral:miRNA from 1 species